CCUACGGGUGGCUGCAGUGGGGGCUAUUGCACAAUGGGGGGAACCCUGAUGCAGCGACGCCGCGUGGGUGACGGAGUGUUUCGGCAUGUAAAGCCCUAUCGGCAGGGAAGAAGCAAGACGGUACCUGACUAUGAAGCCCCGGCUAACUCCGUGCCAGCAGCCGCGGUAAUCCGUAGGGGGCAAGCGUUAUCCGGAUUCAAUGGGUGUAAAGGGAGCGUAGACGGCCAUGCAAGCCAGGGGUGAAAGCCCGGGGCUCAACCCCGGGACUGCCCUUGAAACUGUGCGGCUAGAGUGCGGGAGGGGCAGGCGGAAGUCCUGGUGUAGCGGUGAAAUGCGUAGAUAUCAGGAGGAACA
rnacentral:rRNA from 1 species